UACGUAGGGGCAAGCGUUGUCCGGAUUUAUUGGGCGUAAAGAGCGUGUAGGCGGCCAGGUAGGUCUGCUGUGAAAACUCGAGGCUUAACCUCGAGCUGUCGGCGGAAACCAUCUGGCUAGAGUCCGGAAGAGGAGAAUGGAAUUCCCGGUGUAGCGCGAAAUGCGCAGAUAUCGGGAAGAACACCCGUGGCGAAGGCGGUUCUCUGGGACGGUACUGACGCUGAGACGCGAAAGCGUGGGGAGC
rnacentral:rRNA from 1 species